CGUCGGUCGAAGAUACUAGGUGGCUGCGACUGUUUAUUAAAAACACAGCACUCUGCAAACACGAAAGUGGACGUAUAGGGUGUGACGCCUGCCCGGUGCUUGAAGGUUAAUUGAUGGGGUUAGCUUCGGCGAAGCUCUUGAUCGAAGCCCAAGUAAACGGCGGCCGUAACUAUAACGGUCCUAAGGUAGCGAAAUUCCUUGUCGGGUAAGUUCCGACCUGCACGAAUGGCGUAACGAUGGCCACACUGUCUCCACCCGAGACUCAGUGAAAUUGAAAUUGCGGUUAAGAUGCCGUAUAUCCGCGGCUAGACGGAAAGACCCCGUGAACCUUUACUAUAGCUUCGCAGUGGACUUUGAUAUUACUUGUGUAGGAUAGCUGGGAGGCUUUGAAAUCUGGACGCCAGUUCAGAUGGAGCCAAUCUUGAAAUACCAGCCUGGUACUAUUGAGGUUCUAACUCAGGUCCCUUAUCGGGAUCGAGGACAUUGUGUGGUGGGUAGUUUGACUGGGGCGGUCUCCUCCUAAAGAGUAACGGAGGAGUACGAAGGUGCGCUCAGCAUGGUCGGAAAUCAUGCAUCGAGUAUAAAGGCAUAAGCGCGCUUGACUGCGAGACAGACACGUCGAGCAGGUACGAAAGUAGGUCUUAGUGAUCCGGUGGUUCUGUAUGGAAGGGCCAUCGCUCAACGGAUAAAAGGUACUCCGGGGAUAACAGGCUGAUACCGCCCAAGAGUUCACAUCGACGGCGGUGUUUGGCACCUCGAUGUCGGCUCAUCACAUCCUGGGGCUGAAGCCGGUCCCAAGGGUAUGGCUGUUCGCCAUUUAAAGUGGUACGCGAGCUGGGUUUAGAACGUCGUGAGACAGUUCGGUCCCUAUCUGCCGUGGACGUUUGAGAUUUGAGAAGAGUUGCUCCUAGUACGAGAGGACCGGAGUGAACGAACCUCUGGUGUUCGGGUUGUCAUGCCAAUGGCAUUGCCCGGUAGCUAUGUUCGGACAGGAUAACCGCUGAAAGCAUCUAAGCGGGAAGCCCCCUUCAAGAUGAGAUCUCACUGGGGCCUUGAGCCCCCUGAAGAGCCGUUCAAGACCAGGACGUUGAUAGGCUGGGUGUGUAAGCGUUGUGAGGCGUUGAGCUAACCAGUACUAAUUGCUCGUGAGGCUUGACCAU
rnacentral:rRNA from 1 species